rnacentral:lncRNA from 1 species
CUGAAACAUAGGUGAGGGGGGAUGAUUUACUGAGAUCACAAUAAGCUCAUUAUGUGAUAGUCUCACCAGGUCCCCAUGGAAUCAGAGUAUGGAUAAUAUUACAAUGAGGCUUUAGUACACAGCCUUGCUGAUAACUACCUCCUUUGUUAAUUAGAUAAUGCACAAGAGGCUGCAUAAUGUCACCUGCUUCCAUAUCUUUGCACUUUGGACACUAAGCGGCAUCAGAAUACCAGGAAGAUGAAUCCUUCAUGUGGAAGAGAUUGGGGGAUCU